AGCGUAGCAUAGGCAAAUCAAAAUGCCAAAAUAUCUAAAAAUCCUCCGGGAAUUGUGAAUUUUCUGUUGUACGAUGUGUUCGUAAAUUCCAGCGAUUGUUUGAUGUUAUGUGUCAAAGUUUACAUUAUUUAAAGUGUUCCGCUGAAUUUCCAUUCACUCAAACUAACCUGUGAGUCUGUUUCCUAAGAUGAGUAAACAACUGAAAUUGCAUCUUCUUCGUUGAACUAAGUAAUAAGAAUACUAUUAACACAUACCAGCCGUCCUAUAUGAUAUAUAAAGUAUGGAUCAUUCUUGACAACGCCUCCGUUUAGCGGGGACUUUUUUAGGAUGUCCCGUCUAACUCAGUUUUACACCGUGGAGGUGGGGGACACUAAAUUCACCAUAUUGAAACGCUAUCAGAAUUUGAAACCCAUUGGUUCAGGAGCUCAAGGAAUCGUUUGUGCUGCUGUGGAUACAGUGACUAAUCAAAAUGUAGCCAUCAAAAAACUGAGCAGGCCAUUCCAGAAUGUGACGCAUGCCAAAAGGGCGUAUCGAGAGUUUAAGUUAAUGAAAUUAGUUAAUCAUAAGAACAUAAUUGGUUUGUACAAUGCUUUCACACCGCAGAGGUCACUGGAAGAAUUCCAGGAUGUUUAUCUAGUGAUGGAAUUAAUGGAUGCCAACUUAUGUCAGGUGAUACAAAUGGAUUUAGACCAUGAACGAAUGAGCUAUCUUCUCUAUCAGAUGCUCUGUGGAAUAAAACAUUUGCAUUCGGCCGGGAUUAUACAUAGGGAUUUAAAACCGAGCAAUAUUGUAGUUAAAUCAGAUUGUACAUUAAAGAUAUUAGACUUUGGACUUGCAAGAACAGCCGGGACUACUUUCAUGAUGACACCGUACGUAGUGACAAGAUAUUAUAGGGCCCCUGAGGUGAUCUUAGGUAUGGGAUAUACAGAAAAUGUGGAUAUAUGGUCAGUGGGGUGUAUAAUGGGAGAAAUGAUCAGGGGUGGCGUCCUUUUCCCCGGAACAGAUCACAUAGAUCAAUGGAAUAAGAUAAUUGAACAACUGGGUACUCCAUCACCGCAAUUCAUGAUGAGACUGCAGCUAACCGUGCGGAAUUACGUAGAAAACAGGCCACGUUACCCCGGUUUCUCCUUCGAUAAACUCUUUCCUGAUGUUUUAUUCCCAUCGGACAGUAAUGAACAUAACCGACUUAAGGCGAGCCAAGCCAGAGAUUUACUUUCUAAAAUGCUAGUUAUCGACCCGGAAAAGAGGAUUUCAGUGGACGAUGCUCUGCUCCAUCCUUACAUAAAUGUCUGGUAUGACGAACAGGAAGUUAAUGCUCCUGCUCCUGGCCCUUACGAUCACAGCGUUGACGAAAGGGAGCACACAGUUGAACAGUGGAAAGAGCUGAUUUAUCAGGAAGUUAUGGAGUAUGAGAACUCUCAUGGUCGAGCCUCCAGCUCACAACCCAGUCCUGCCACUAACUCGGAGCCAAACGGUACUGCCGAAUCAAUGCGGUAGGAAAGAUUGGAUAAUCAUUGGCACAAGUAGCAUUUCCAACUAGUCAAAACAUAAUUAUAAUAACCCUCCAAAAUAAUUGAGGAUAUUUUAAUCACAGUAUGAGAAUCGUUUGUAUUUUUCCCAAUUCUCAUUUUAGAAAACUGAUGCAACCUAAUCAGUAUGUGUGAUAUAGGCGGUACCUAAAUACUAGUUUGUAUUUUGAUUGUACCUAACCUAACAUUAUGGAAAUUCUGAUGAAAUCUGAAAAUUUUCGCAUUUUCCUUGCUAGUAACUAUCGCGUUUAAUGUUGGUAAUUAAAUGGAUACUCAUGCUGAAGCAAUAAAAACUUAUUAUAGCUACCUUAGUUUUUAAAGACGUCGAAUAUUUUUUUUAAAUAAUGAAUAAAGUUUCAUUAUGACUAAUCAAAAAUGUUAUACAACGGAAAGUCAUGUUUUCCUCCUACGCAAUCAAGCAAUCAAAAUAAUAACUAUUCCACGUAAAUUUUAUUAUGUCUCAUGAUCAUCAUGGAUAUGAAACUGGAAUAUCUCUAUAGAUUUCCAAAUUUUUAUCUCAUAAAAAGUGUGUUUCAUAAUAAUUUAGAGUUCUAUAGCUCAAUCGGUAAAGAAAUAUCAGAGAAGCUGAGAUGUUCUAGCAUAGAAAAAUGGAAAUUUUUGGAGACAAUCAUAUUUUUAUACCGAAAUUAUUUCAACAAAAAAUACAAAUUAGUAAUUAUAAGCAUAAUGUAAUAUUACAUGUAAGUUUUGAACUGUUUUUAUAUUUAUUUGACAACGCAAUAUUUUUGAGUAUAUUGUUCACUCACUUUUUUUUUAUUGUUGAUUUGGAUAAUUUUAUUUGAAAUAUAUUUUCUAAUGGUUAGAAAAAUUACACCUUAGUACUUAGCGAUAUAGUAUGAAAUUGUAAGUAGUGGUAAAAAGUUUGGAAUUAACUACAUUUUUGCAACUAUAGUGUCGACUCGUACUGUACUGAAUAUUAAAUGAUCUAAUGAAUAAGUUUAUGUACUGUAAAAAAUAAAAAAAAAUCAUCCGAUCCAAAUUAGAUUCUUCAGUGAAUAUUGUGAGAAGUAGAAGCUAUUGGUUGUUUGAGUUUUGGUAUGGUGAAGAAAUUCCAAUUUUCUCUUUUUCCUACUUGUCAGACUGAAAAUCUUCAGGGUGAGAACUGGUAGAGAUGGUUGCUAGGAAUUUGUUUAGAUCGAGAUGAAUGAAUGUUUUAAGAUCGCAUGUAGCAUUCUCAAUGAUAUUUUGAAUUUUUUCAGGAACAAAUAUUAUUGAUAGACUAGUUAAGAUAUACAACUCAGUUGUAAAUUUGUAGACUUUUAGAUAAGGAUUCGUCAAGCUCUGGGUAUCUUACACUUUACAAAUAUCAUAUUAGUUAUUAAUAACAGUGUACCUAUGUAUUACUUGUAUUGUUCCGCUUUGUAAAUAAAGUCAAACUCAAUUA